rnacentral:rRNA from 1 species
AUUGAACGCUGGCGGCAUGCCUUACACAUGCAAGUCGAACGGCAGCGCGGACUUCGGUCUGGCGGCGAGUGGCGAACGGGUGAGUAAUACUUCGGAACGUACCCUGUUGUGGGGGAUAACUAGUCGAAAGAUUAGCUAAUACCGCAUACGACCUGAGGGUGAAAGUGGGGGACCGCAAGGCCUCACGCAGCAGGAGCGGCCGAUGUCUGAUUAGCUAGUUGGUGGGGUAAAGGCCCACCAAGGCGACGAUCAGUAGCUGGUCUGAGAGGACGAUCAGCCACACUGGGACUGAGACACGGCCCAGACUCCUACAGGAGGCAGCAGUGGGGAAUUUUGGACAAUGGGGGCAACCCUGAUCCAGCAAUGCCGCGUGUGUGAAGAAGGCCUUCGGGUUGUAAAGCACUUUUGUCCGGAAAGAAAUCGCGCUGGUUAAUACCUGGCGUGGAUGACGGUACCGGAAGAAUAAGCACCGGCUAACUACGUGCCAGCAGCCGCCGUAA